rnacentral:misc_RNA from 1 species
UUUGAAUCAUAUUCAGACAGUGCAAGACUGUGUCUUAUUGGAGCAGACCACUGGAAGCAUCCUCGGACCUAUGCUAAUCCAGAAGCUAUUCAGAGAACUGAAUUGUACGAAUAUUCAAAGGUGCUUGGCAACUCCCAGUAUAUCCUGCUACCAUUUCAGCCAUAUAAGUUGAUAUAUGCAUAUAUGCUGGCUGAAGUGGGCAAAGUUUCUGAUUCGUUAAAGUACUGUCAGGCAAUAUUAAAAUCUCUAAAGACUGGUCGUGCUCAAGAAGUGGAAACAUGGAAACAAUUAGUAUUAUCCCUUGAGGAGAGGAUUAGAACCCAUCAACAGGGCGGAUACACUGCAAAUUUGGCUCCAGCAAAGUUAGUAGG